rnacentral:rRNA from 1 species
CCUGGUUGAUCCUGCUAGUAGUCAUAUAUUUGUCUCAAAGAUUAAGCCAUGCAUGUGUAAGUAUGAACAAAUUCAGACUGUGAAACUGCGAAUGGCUCAUUAAAUCAGUUAUAGUUUGUUUGAUGGUAUCUANUACUACUCGGAUAACCAUACUAAUUCUAGAGAUAAUACGUGCAACAAACCCCGACUUCUGGAAGGGAUACAUUUAUUAGAUAAAAGGUCGAUGCAGGCUCUGCCCGUUGCUGCGAUGAUUCAUGAUAACUCAAAGGAUUGCAUGGCCAUUAUCCCGGCGAUGAAUCAUUCAAAUUUCUGUCCUAUCAAGUUUCCAUGGUAGGAUAAUGGCCUAACAUGGUAGUGACGGGUGGCAGAGAAUUAGGGUUCAAUUUUGGAGCGGGAGCCUGAGAAACGGCUACCACAUCCAAGGAAGGCAGAAGACGCGCAAAUUACCCAAUUCUGAAUGGGGAGGUAGUGACAAUAAAUAACAAUACUGGGCUCAAAGAGUCUGGUAAUUUGAAUGACUACGAUCUAAAUCCCUUAACGAGGAGCCAUUGGAGGGAGAGUCUGGUGCCAGCAGCCACAGUAAUUCCAGAACCAAUAGCAUAUAUUUAAGUUGUUGCAGUUAAAAAGCUCGAAGUUGGACUUUGGGAUUGGCCGGCCGGUUUGCCUAUCGUGUGCAUUGGUCGUCUCAUCCCUUCUAUCCGCGAUGUGCCCCUGGCCUUAACUGGAUGGGUCGUGCCUCCGACGCUGUUACUUUGAAGAAAUUAGAGUGCUUAAAGCAAGCCUACGCUAUGUAUACAUUAGCAUGGGAUAACAUUAUAGGAUUUCGGUCCUAUUACGUUGGCCUUCGGGAUCAGAGUAAUGAUUAACAGGGAAGUCGGGGGCAUUUGUAUUUCAUAGUCUGAGGUGAAAUUAUUGGAUUUAUGAAAUACGAAGAACUGCAAAAGCAUUUUCCAAGGAUGUUUUCAUUGAUCAAGAACGAAAGUUGGGGGCUCGAAGGCGGUCAGAUACCGUCCUAGUCUCAGCCAUAAACGAUGCCGACCAGGGAUCGGUGGAUGUUGCUUUUAGGACUCCGCCGGCACCUUAUGAGAAAUCAAAGUUUUUGGGUUCCGGGGGGAGUAUGGUCGCAAGGCUGAAACUUAAAGGAAUUGACGGAAGGGCACCACCAGGAGUGGAGCCUGCGGCUUAAUUUGACUCAACACGGGGAAACUUACCAGGUCCAGACAUAGUAAGGAUUGACAGACUGAGAGCUCUUUCUUGAUUCUAUGGGUGGUGGUGCAUGGCCGUUCUUAGUUGGUGGAGCGAUUUGUCUGGUUAAUUCCGUUAACGNUUUUACUCAACACGGGGAAACUUACAAGGUCCAGACAUAGUAAGGAUUGAAAGACUGAAAACUCUUUCUUAAUUCUAUGGGUGGUGGUGCAUGUCCGUUCUUAGUUGGUGGAGCGAUUUGUCUGGUUAAUUUCGUUAACGAAUGAGACCUCAGCCUACUAACUAGAUAUGCGGAGGUAUCCCUUCGCGGCCAGCUUCUUAGAGGAACUACGACCUUUUAGGCCGCGGAAGUUUGAGGCAAUAAAAGGUCUGUGAUGCCCUUAGAUGUUCUGGGCCGUACGCACGCUACACUGAUGUAUUAAACGAGUAUAUAGCCUUGGCUGACAGGCCUGGGUAAUCUUUGAAAUUUCGUCGUGAUGGGGUUAGAUCAUUGCAAUUGUUGGUCUUCAACGAGGAAUUCCUAGUAAGCAUGAGUCAUCAGCUCGCGUUGACUACGUCCCUGCCCUUUGUACACACCGCCCGUCGCUCCUACCGAUUGAAUGAUCCGGUGAAAUGUUCGGAUCGCGGCGACGUGGGCGGUUCGCUGCCCGCGAUGUCACAAGAAGUCCAUUGAACGUUAUCAUUUAGAGAAAGAGAAUUCGUAACAAAGUUUCCAUAGGUGAACCUGCGGAAG